CUUCCUGGGCAGUCAGCUGCAGGCUCCAUCAGGCUCCCUUUCGUUCCAGCCCCACUGUGAGCCCCUAGGGGACCGGCAGGAGCGAUGAGGUCCCCAGAAUUCAGCACUGUGCCGAGCUGGCCGGGCCACCCCUCUGGUCAAAUGGCUCAGGGCAGCGGGCUCCCUGGGACUGCUCAACAUGGGCGCCCCCGGCUGAUCCAUGGCUCAUGGGCUGCUGGGGAAGACGGGGCCAGAGCUCCUCUGUCUCCCCUGCUUUGAUGCCCCUCCUUGUCCGGGGCCAUCUUGAGGACCUCAGUGAUCCCCCAUAGACCCUGGCCACAGUCACACCUGGCCCCCACCCAGGGAAGAGCAAUGCUGCCCAGGAGGGCCCGUCCACCUGUGGGGCCUGGAGAUGCAGGACAAGCAUCAUUUGACUCCAGGGAACAGCAAUGCCGGCCGGGAGUGCCCAUCCAUGGGAAGAUGCUGGAGAAUCGACGUGGUUCCUGGUCCUGCUGCUGGGUCAGGACCUCAGAGGCCCCUGGAGUAUGUGCCUAGCCCACCCGCCCCCAGGCCCUCGCCUUCCAUAACCAACUCAAAAUGAAAACAGACCAAACCAUACAAUAAAAACGUGCAAUUUUAACAGUGGGGGAGCCUAACGUGGGCGGAAGGCGCGGGCUGCCCGGGGUUGGAUUCCGGGCCUUUCCUUACCAGCUGCACGACCUUGGGGACGCUGCGUACAUCUCCCUGUCCUCGAUUUCUCUUAUCUGUGAAAUGGGGAGAUCACAGAACCUCUUUCAAGGUCCCUGUGAGUGUGUUCAUAGAUACAAACCCUUAGAACGAUGUCUGGCAUUAGACACAGUGAUCAACAAUCAGGUGUUAUCAUUGAACGUGACACACGGAGCCCGUGUCUGCUGGAAUGAAAGCAGGUUCCUUCCGGGUUUGGGCUGCUCCUGAGUUCGCUUUGUGCCUGUGGGUCUGGACAGUCCAGGCCUCUGGGGCCUUUCCCCAGGGCUCCAGCCAGACAAUGGUGGACACGGCGCAGGGGCAGAGGGUGCUGGCCGG
rnacentral:lncRNA from 1 species